UCAGUAAUGUUUCGUUUAUUUGUCGACGUUUCGGUCAGAGCCUGACCGAAACGUCGACAAAUAAAUGAAACAUUACUGA
rnacentral:pre_miRNA from 1 species